rnacentral:rRNA from 1 species
CGGCGUGCUUAACACAUGCAAGUCGAACGAAGCACUUAAUGAGAUUUCUUCGGAUUGAUUAUUUUGUGACUGAGUGGCGGACGGGUGAGUAACGCGUGAGUAACCUGCCGUUCAGAGGGGGACAACAGUUGGAAACGACUGCUAAUACCGCAUAAUGUAUAUAGGAGGCAUCUUCUGUAUACCAAAGGAGCAAUCCGCUAUGAGAUGGGCCCGCGGCGCAUUAGCUAGUUGGUGAGGUAACGGCUCACCAAGGCGACGAUGCGUAGCCGACCUGAGAGGGUGAUCGGCCACAUUGGGACUGAGACACGGCCCAGACUCCUACGGGAGGCAGCAGUGGGGAAUAUUGCACAAUGGGGGAAACCCUGAUGCAGCAACGCCGCGUGAGUGAUGACGGCCUUCGGGUUGUAAAGCUCUGUCUUCAGGGACGAUAAUGACGGUACCUGAGGAGGAAGCCACGGCUAACUACGUG